rnacentral:rRNA from 1 species
AAUAAACGCUGGCGGCGUGCCUAACACAUGCAAGUCGAACGAGAAAGCCUGUUUUCGGACGGGCGAGUAAAGUGGCGCACGGGUGAGUAACGCGUAGGUAACCUGCCCCUAUGUUCGGGAUAACAGUGCGAAAGUGCUGCGAAUACCGGAUAUGGCCCUGGAGCGGUGGCUCCAUGGUCAAAGUCGGCCUCUCGCAGAAGCUGACGCACGGGGAUGGGCCUGCGUCCUAUCAGCUAGUUGGUAGGGUAACGGCCUACCAAGGCUUCGACGGGUAGCUGGUCUGAGAGGAUGAUCAGCCACACUGGCACUGAAACACGGGCCAGACUCCUACGGGAGGCAGCAGUGAGGAACUUUGCGCAAUGGCCGCAAGGCUGACGCAGCAACGCCGCGUGGGUGAAGAAGGCCUUCGGGUCGUAAAGCCCUGUCAGGUGGGAAGAAUGAUUCGGGAGUGAAUAAUUCCCGGAUGUGACGGUACCACCAGAGGAAGCACCGGCUAACUCCGUGCCAGCAGCCGCGGUAAUACGGAGGGUGCAAGCGUUAUUCGGAAUUACUGGGCGUAAAGCGCGUGCAGGCGGGCGAGCAAGUCUGAUGUGAAAGCCCCGGGCCUAACCUGGGAAGUGCAUUGGAAACUGCUCGUCUUGAGUUGCGGAGAGGAAGGGGGAAUUCCCGGUGUAGAGGUGAAAUUCGUAGAGAUCGGGAGGAAUACCAGUGGCGAAGGCGCCCUUCUGGACGACAACUGACGCUGAGACACGAAAGCGUGGGUAGCAAACAGGAUUAGAUACCCUGGUAGUCCACGC